GACGAACGCUGGCGGCGUGCCUAAUACAUGCAAGUAGAACGCUGAAGGAGGAGCUUGCUUCUCUGGAUGAGUUGCGAACGGGUGAGUAACGCGUAGGUAACCUGCCUGGUAGCGGGGGAUAACUAUUGGAAACGAUAGCUAAUACCGCAUAAGAGUAGAUGUUGCAUGACAUUUGCUUAAAAGGUGCAAUUGCAUCACUACCAGAUGGACCUGCGUUGUAUUAGCUAGUUGGUGGGGUAACGGCUCACCAAGGCGACGAUACAUAGCCGACCUGAGAGUGUGAUCGGCCACACUGGGACUGAGACACGGCCCAGACUCCUACGGGAGGCAGCAGUAGGGAAUCUUCGGCAAUAGACGGAAGUCUGACCGAGCAACGCCGCGUGAGUGAAGAAGGUUUUCGGAUCGUAAAGCUCUGUUGUAAGAGAAGAACGAGUGUGAGAGUGGAAAGUUCACACUGUGACGGUAUCUUACCAGAAAGGGACGGCUAACUACGUG
rnacentral:rRNA from 1 species